GGUAGCACAGCUGGUUAGAGAGUGCUGCUGAUAACACCAUGGUUGCAGGUUCGAUCCCUGCAUGUGAAAGCU